rnacentral:rRNA from 1 species
GGCCCAGACUCCUACGGGAGCAGCAGUGGGGAAUAUUGCACAAUGGGGGAAACCCUGAUGCAGCAACGCCGCGUGAGUGAUGACGGUCUUGGAUUGUAGCUCUGUCUUCAGGGACGAUAAUGACGGUACCUGAGGAGGAAGCCACGGCUAACUACGUGCCAGCAGCCGCGGUAAUACGUAGGUGGCAAGCGUUGUCCGGAUUUACUGGGCGUAAAGGGAGCGUAGGCGAUUCCUAAGUGGGAGGGG